rnacentral:lncRNA from 13 species
GUGUUUGUCCCAUUUGAUGAAAUCUUGUUUUGCAAGUGGACCCCACACCUCACUGCCAUAAAGUGCAAUUGGUUCAAUGACACAUUCAAUUAGUUUUAGCCAAAUUUGAAUAGGUUUUUCAAUUUGAAUUUGUUUUUAAUGGUGUAGAAUGCACUGCAUGCUUUCUCUCUCAGUUCAUUCACUGCAUCAUGAAGGUGUCCAGUGGAGCUUAUCUUUUAAACCUAAUGUAACGAUUAUCUUCUUCUUCUGGCGAGGAGUACGAAGGAUCGGACCAAUGCGCAGCGUGCUCUUUCCUGGAACCCAGAAAUAAACAGCCUUUUUGUCACCGGCUGAUAUGGACUAGAAAUUCCUUCUUUCCUUGAACGAGUGAUCAUGGUGUGCAUGGAGAGAGAGAGCGAGAGGUCGAGAGAGAGAGAGAGAGAGAGAGAGAAUAAUAUAAUCUGUCCAUACUGGGUGAAAGCAGAGUGGAGUGAAC